rnacentral:lncRNA from 1 species
UGAGGUCAUCUGGCUUUGGCAUCUGUCACUCCUUUGUCUGCAGAGCUGACUUUAUCUGUUUAAUUAGUUGGAAAGGUGGCAUCCUCCUCCCUCACUGGUCCAUGUGUGGCCUGCCUCACACUGCAUCCCAAGGCAAAAGAGUUGAUCUUUUAAGCUCUAUCUGGGCUCCUCUUUGGUCAAAGGUAUCUGAAUAGCUGAGUUAUUUUAGUGGAAACUCUGAAUA